UUUUUUUUUUUUUAAAUCUCGCUCUAGUUUUCCUACUCUUCUUUUACCUCCCAAGCUCUUUCUCAUUUUCAUCUCCAUUUCAGUACUCUGUUGUCCUCAUUCUCCAUCCUUUCUCAUUUUGUAUUGUUUGGAUCACUCUCUACAACUACCUGAAGGGAGGCUGUAGUGUGCUGGGGGUUGGCCUCUUCUCUUGUGUAACUAGUGAUAGGACUAGAGGGAAUGGCUUCAAGCUGCGCCAGGGGAGGUUCAGGCUGGACGUUAGAAAAUACUGCUUCUCUGAAAGGGUGGUCAGGCACUGGAAUGGGCUGUCCAGGGAGGUGGUGGAGUCACCGACCAUGGAGACGUUCAAGGAAUGUUUAGAUGUUGUGUUGAGAGACAUGGUUUAGUGAGAACUAUUGAUGAUAGGUGGACAGUUGGACUGGAUGAUCUUGUAGGUCUUUUCCAGCCUUGGUGAUUCUAUGAUUCUAUGAUUUCUACUUCUCUUGCUUUCUUGCCAUCCAUGGAAUUUCUAGCUUUGAUUAAUACACUUGAAAUGGAAUCAAUUCCUUUGUACUUUUAAUGUGUAUUUUUUACACCAAACACCUCACACAGUAUGGAUCUAACAUCUGAAAGUCUGAAUGCUUCCAUUUUCAGUUAAUUGUAGAAUUAUAUAAAAAAAUCAUACAAUAACUUAUGUUGGAGGGGACAUUACACAUCACCUAGUUCCAACCCUCUGCAAUGGGCAGGAUUGCUAACCACUAGGUCAGGCUGCCCAGGGUCCCAUCCAGCCUGGACUUGAAUGCCUACCAUUGAUAAGUAUUUCUAUACCCAUAUGGCCCUCUGUAUUUUUAAAGAUCCUUUUUAAGGUCAGUGUAACAUGACAUAAUUCUGAGCUUCACGGUUGCAGUCCCAUAAAAUGUGUGCCUCAUUGUGAAAUCUAGAACCUUCUGUCACAUAGGCAACCUGAAAACACUGAAAAGGAGAAAGGACAGGAUCCCUUUGGGCAACUCUUGAAAAUUCAGAAAUAAAAGAGUGAUAAAAGUGGAUAGUAAUUAAUCACUCACUGUUUCUCAGUAAUAGGAAUUUAAACACAAUGAACAGUGUCAAAGAGGUUUUUGUUGUUGUUGUUUGCUUGUUGGUUUUAUUUGCCCUAUUAAUUCCCAAAGUAUUAAUUUCUAUCUUUUCUAUAGUAUAUUUAAUUAUAAUAAUAAAAAAGAAAUAAGCCAUGAGGUCUCACUGCAAUCCAGCCAUUGCUAGAAUGGUAGCAUUUCCUGACCACUGUCCCUUUGCCCAGCUUACUGGAAGAUAUGACCACCUACUUAAACAGGCUUGCCUAGAGGUCACUUUCCCAGAAAGCAUUUGCAAGGUGUGAUAUAACCCUAGUCACAUUUAUUCAUGCUGCAAUGCAGGCAGGCCAACUGUGCUGUAAUUUAUCACAAAUAAAGAAUUACUUGAGGAAGUUACAAAUGCAUAAAAGAACAGCUGUUGUGUUGCUGAAAGCAAUGCAUUAGUGCAUGCAGAGUACUAUAAAGUGUGAUAUUGAUUAAUUGUUUGACUUUUCUACAGUAUUUUUGCUUUGUGUUGUCAUCCUUUUCAGUUGCAUAUUCUGUGGGAUUUCCUUUCAGUAGUGAACUUAUCAUAAAUAAACAAGUAAUAAUUAAGUCAUUAAUGGACAUGUUGAUCACACCUGAUUGAAAAAAAAUAAAUGAAAUGAAAGAUCAGAAAUGCUGUCCUCCCACAAUGGAUAUUGUUAAACUUUGGCAAGAAAGAGUUAGCAGAAAGAUUAUUUAGAUAAAGAGAAACCAACAUAUUUUCAAUUAAUUAGCUUCUGUAACAGUGAAUACCUCAUUCACAUAGCUCCAUGUAACUCUGCAGCUUCCUUUCAUUUUGAAAAAGCUCUCUUCUUUCCCUCAGAGUACGUGAAGCUUUUGAAAAUAGCACUUCCAGAAACACAAAAAAUGGAAUGGUGUUGGAAUACUCCUUCAGCAAACUAUUUUUCUUUUCCUGCAUCAGGAAGAUGCAUUUUCCUACCAAAAAAAUAAUGCUGCAUCAGCACCUAAACCUGUAUAAAAGUGCUUGUGGUUACUCAAUUAUUAAAAUAUAAAAAGGAAACUGGAUGAGCAGAUGUUGACCUCAUACGAUUUGCUUUGGUUGCACCUUUUUUACAGCCCUUGACAAAUUGCUUUAUUUUGAAUGUAGGUAGAGUAGGAGUAUAUAAGGUUAUAUGGCAGGAGAAUUACAUGCAACCAUAGUGCAUGUGAUAGUGGCAGGUACUUCUUUUACUUAGGGUAUCCUUGCUUGCUUUUUGGAUAGAUAAUAUCCAUUAAACCAGUCAGCCUUGAUUCUGGGAAUUCAGAUUAUUACUUUCUUUAUUUUUUUUCAUUUUUGUUCAUUUAUGUUAUGAGCAAAUUGCUCUGUUGACAGCAACUCAUGCAGUGUGAGUCAUCACAACCAACUUUAAAUCUCUUCAGUAUCCAUACCUAUAUCAGAGCUGAUGACAUACAUUUUUUUUUAAUCAGUUAAGAAGCACAGAGAGUGACAGAUGUAAUUCUUUUGCCCCAGAGAGGUCAGAUGAAUUCUAGAAAAACCCAUUUCUCACUACUGACUAAAAAACAAUCAAAGAUAAUUAACUCAGUUAAAAAAUAAUCUGAACUAUAGAUAUCUGCAAUAGGGUAGAAUUAUGCUCCAGGCAGUGAGAUAUUCUUAAAACACAAUGAAAUUCCAUUUGUCUGAGAAAUAUGAAAGAAACUGACAGACAAAUAUAGUAUAUCUAGUAUUCGGCAAAGAGAUCGGGGCUGGGAGAUGAGAGAAAAGUCAACUGUAAAAAAGAUGCCUUUUGUUUUUUUUUUCUAGUGUUCUUGCCAUGUUUCAGUAUUCAGUGUUAAACAUCAGUUCUGUAAAACCUGACUUGAGGAGGGUCCACAGAGAGUUCCACAACCUGAACUCAGCCCAUCUCAAAUGGGCAAUACAGCUGCAGAAAGAGCUGUUUGGCAGACUUUCAAAUGUUUUUUGAACAAGCUCCUUUAUGCUCAUACAUUGUUUCUGUUCAAAGCUCGUCAUGAAAACUAACCCUGAAAGCAGCCAAUAUUUGUAUUGAUUCAGUUGUUUUAUUUGAGAAUAAGAGCAGUCAAGGAGAAAAAAAGACUUUCUGUGCUUACAAGAAAAUUAGCAUCUUCAGUGUCUAGGAGAAAACUUCAAAGGCACACAUGCUCUAAUGCUAUCGGAGGUCUCUGACUUAUGGGCCUUCAAUAUUGUUUAAAAGCUUUAUCCAAAACUCACUGCAACU
ensembl:lncRNA